GUCUUGUAGAAGAAAAUCAAUUACCUAACAGUUUUAGUCUCAUUUUAUCCUGAUAUCCUCUUUCCUGUUCACUGAUUAAGUUCCUAUUAUUUUACCUGAGCAACAACUUUUAGUGUCUCCUGAUUUAAUUAAGUCUGUCUGCCUUUGCUCUGGUUUAGUGUUAAAACAAAGCAUUUUGCAUUGAUCACUGUGAGUGAGACAUUUUGUUGGAGCCCAGGUUGGCUCCAACAAAAGAUCAUCCUUAACUAAUCAAAGCACUUUUGAUUAGUUGAAGCAGACAGUAUUGAGUCUAUGCAAAUCUACUCAGACAGACUUGUGAGUUGAUUGUCUUCUCAGCUUUUGUUUAUUCUGUUGUUUCCUGUAACCUUGUAUAAAACCCUGGCUAGAAACUCAUUCUGGUCAGAGAGAAUCCUACAGCUUCUUGAGAGCUUCUUGUGAACUUCUUUCUUCACUGCGCAGUGAAUAAAACUCAUCUGAACCAGCCACUGAAUUGGACCUGAGAGAUCUUUUUCUUCCACACUGUCCAAAUAUGUAUCCGCUCCUGGUUUUUAUAACUGGAAAUGGGAAUCAUGGUGAUGCACAAUUUAAAGAUUUAAUUCCAGUUGUCAGAUAGGUUCAUUUGCCAAGUGAAUGAGAGCUUUUGAGCUGAAUGAGAGCUAAACAACUUAAUUACCUGGUGAACUGAAGAAAUACUCUUGAUCACCACUAGACAUUAUGCCAUUUUGUGUCUGAGAACAGGUAUUGUGGUUUGUCUGUUCUCAUGAGCCAUUUUUAUUGGUCAAUAUUAUACUUUUUUUGCUAAAAACAGGCUAUACUUUUGGUUUUUAAAUACACAUAACAGGAGUCCAAAGAUCUAACCGCUGUGAUUAUAUGGGACUACUGUACUUUAAUUUAGUUAAACUCCUUCUGUAAAGCACAAUUAAAGGUUUAGUUUGAAGAACUUUCCCAGAGUUAAUCCUCCUGCUAUCCUACUGCCGACAGCACAGUUUUCUUCACAAUAAGAUUCACUUUUCUGAUUCACCAGACUGUGCGCUUUCAAUUGAUCUAUAUAACAAACACUGUGGUGUGCUCGGCUGCACAGAGGAGCCAUGCUUUUGUUGAAACUUGUUUAUUGUGUUGAGUGAUUAAUGCAUUGAAAAGUUGAGUGUUUCAGAAAACACGGCUCUGGUUUCUCUGGGGCCACCCACACUAUAAAUGGAAACUCUUGCUCACUAGUAUGAGGUCCCAUUGAAAGGAAAACCCUGUCCAAGUACGGUACUGUUGUUUGUGUAUGUUGGAAGCCUAUAUAUUAAACAGCUAACAGAUGCUGCCCCCUGGUGACAUAUCACUGUGUCUACACUCUGUGAACCUUUAUGGAUGAGUUAGGUUAUUGACUUAAAUAUGACAAUACAGACACAUAAAAUAAC